GAUGAAGAACGUAGCGAAAUGCGAUACGUAAUGUGAAUUGCAGAAUUCAGUGAAUCAUCGAAUCUUUGAACGCAUAUUGCGCUCUCUGGUAUUCCGGAGAGCAUGCUUGUUUGAGUAUCAGUAAACACCUCAACUUCCAUAUCUUUUUUGAAAUGGGAGUUGGACUUGAGUGAUCCCAACGCUUUUCCUCACCGAAAAGUGGCGGGUUACUUGAAAUGCAGGUGCAGCUGGACUUUUCUCUGAGCUAUAAGCAUAUCUAUUUAGUCUGCCUAAAAAACAGAUUAUUACCUUUGCUGCAGCUAACAUAAAGGAGAUUAGUUCUUGUGCUGACUGAUGCAGGAUUCACAAAGACAGGCUUCGGCCGACUUUGUAAACUCGAUCUCAAAUCAAGUAAGACUACCCGCUGAACUUAAGCAUAUCAAUAAGCGGGGA
rnacentral:misc_RNA from 1 species